CUUUUCCGGGUAGAAGGUGACAACCCUAAUGAAUUGACUAUGAAGGUGGCUCUUAGCUACAUCAGCGCUCAAAUUCCUUAAUCGUUAUUGCCCAGGCUUCGAUGAUCAACCCCUGGCACAUUUAGGUUUUGAUCUUCGGCCAUCCUGGUCCUCAGGACCCAACACUAUAUUAUUCAACUAUAUUUCCUUUAAAAUGAAAAGAUGCAAAAGGUGUUGAUACGUCCUAUCCACAUAGAAAUCUUACCCUCUUCCACACAUUACCGGUGGAGCCUGCCCCCGCAUCAGCCCCGACCCCGUCGUCCUCUUUUUUCAGAGGACUUUCGGACGCGGCCCCCGCACCUGAGCUUGGGGAGGAAGUGCAGCAAGUGAGCCCUACUCAUUCCAUUUCCCAAACGGAUCUAUGGAAUUCACUUUCCUCGUCGGCUCCAACCCCAGGUCAGGAUAAUCAACCGCCCCUGGUCGUCGAGCAACCCCCAGCCGCCGGUCCAUCGGAACCCAGAAGGGACCUCAGUCAUGUCCCCCCGAGGUCACCCCCCUCAUUAGCUCUCUCUGAUCAAGAAGUCCUCAAACAAUUCUUCUUGGAGGAGGGCGCUGCUGUUGAACAACAAGAACAGCCGGGGGUUCCUGAGGCGUUGCCGCUGGCGCCAGCACCGGCUGAAGACCCGGAGCUCAUAACAAGAUCAAUUAUAACAAAAAUGAAGCAACUUUACCCCGACGAUCCAUGGAAUCUGAAUAAUCCAUUAAUGCGGGGGGAGAGGAUUUUCGCCGGUGGAAAAGGAAAAAGGAAUCUCCGUCCAGUGACGAUCGAGGAAUUGCAAAAGAUUUUCUACCGCCUAGAGCGUGACGGGAAAAAAAGCUACUGGGCUAAGGAAUUGCACAGGAGGAUAGAUACCUGGACGUGGCAAAAUCCACGCGGCCCUUCUUAAAUAAAAGGUAUAUAGCUGACCCUCCUUUCGCAACAAGGUAGCCGUAGGGGAACCUGUGGCUGGAUUGAAUCCCUCCCUAUCCGAGAUGUGCUCUUGAAGGAUCUCCCUCGACAGCGCAGUUAGGUCUUAGAGAAGGAACUGAUUUACCGCUCCGUGGGUAAGUAGCCAACUU
rnacentral:lncRNA from 1 species